GCUGACUCUCUUUUCAGACUCAGCCCACUUGCACCCAAGUGAAUUAACAGCCUUGUUGCUCACACAAAGCCUGUUUAGGUGGUCUUCUAUACGGACAUGCUUGACACUUGGUGCCAAAAUCUGGGCCAGGGGGACUCCUUCGUGAGACCGGCCCCCUGUCCUGGCCCUCAUUCCGUGAAGAGAUCCACCUGCGACCUCGGGUCCUCAGACCAGCCCAAGGAACAUCUCACCAAUUUCAAAUCGGGGUCCCUGGAGCUCUGGCUCAAAGCUCUCUGGCUGACUCCUUCCCAGAUCUCCUCGGCUUAGUGGCUGAAGACUGAUGCUGCCCGAUCGCCUCAGAAGCCCCUUGGACCAUCACAGAUGCCGAGCUUCGGGUAACUCUUACGGUGGAGGGACCCUCUCCAUUGGGUUCACCAUUCCAGAAUAAAGCCAUGCCCAUCAGACAGCCAGCUUGAUCUCUCCUCUUCCUCCUGGAAGCCACAAGAUUAGGCCGAGAGCCGAUCAGACAAACAACCUACAACCCUUAAGCUCCUGGCAGCGCCCAGCCAAGGCCAUGCUUCCUUGCAACACUCCUUCCAAAUGGCCAUCCCAGCAUGCUUCCAAGCAGGCUUCAUCCGUUCCUCUGGACCCUCAUCUCUUAAGACCUGCCGCCUAUAAAAAGGAUUAUAUCUUGAGACCCUAUCCUCUAAAAUUUUUUCCACACCCAAAACAAAAAAUCUCUGGGUCAAAAGUCUAAAACGCUUAGGCUGGCAACCAUCAGAUCCUUGCCCAUGGUGUCCUCAAGCCUACUCUCAUGAAAUGGACAACAGUACACGCAUAUGGGGCCAGUUCCACAUAUUUGGCAACCAGACCAGCAUCCAGGACAACACAAAGUAUGUUGUUUGUUGUUAGAGGGCUUGGGACAUUUCACUCUUUGCCAGCCUCAGCUUAAUCCAGGAGACAAAGAUUAUUUUCCUUAUUAUCUCUUCUGCAUAGGAUCUGCAAUCAGAACUAUUGAACUUCUCCAUUCAGACCGCCACUCACACCUAUGGGAAAAGGGUAAUGUAUCAUCGGCUUAGCAACAGGGAAUACUAUUCGUAUGAUGGAAAAUGGGGACAAAAGGCUUUGGUACAUAAAACAUUAUUCCUUCCUUGGCCUAAAAACUCAUCGCCACCUACAUUAAAGCUAAUAUGCC
rnacentral:lncRNA from 1 species